rnacentral:misc_RNA from 1 species
AAGUCGUAACAAGGUCUCCGUAGGUGAACCUGCGGAGGGAUCAUUACAGAGUUCAUGCCCUAACGGGUAGAUCUCCCACCCUAUGUUAUUAUUACUUUGUUGCUUUCGUCGGGCCGGGUCCGAUCGGCAUCAGGCCUGCCCCACGGGCCCCUGGCAUACCCCGGGGCCUUCCAACCGGCCUUGGGGUUAAAGGCCGCCCCGCCCAGAGAAACCCCCAAAACCCCUGAAAUAUUAGUGUCGUCUGAGUACUAUAUAAUAGUUAAAA